AUGCUUUGAAAGGCGAGCAUAUAUCCAACCCCCCUAUACAGUUACCCCUAAGGUUACUAUUCAUUAUUGAGUAGUUACUUUAUUGAGGAAGAAGAGGUUAGUGUUUCGACAUUAAUCAAUCACAAGGUUCUUUUUACUUCGGUAAAACUCUAUCUAGUCUGUUGCGUGAACACAAAACUGCUAGGUGGAAGAAGAAUCUAUAGACGUUCAACAUUGUGCAGAUCCCAUUCGACCCGUCUUGAAACACGGACCAAGGAGUCUAGACUAUGUGCGAGUAUUAACGGAAAUUAAACACCGUAAUGCGAAGUGAAAGCGUGCAUAACUAUCCUCGGGUAGUUAUAUUAGGUUGUAAUUUGUUGAUCCCGACCUUGCAAUUAUUUUGUCGGUUCUUUCUUGGGCAUUAUGACUAAGCAGAGUUCAGUUUGGGUUUACUUAGGCUGUUCUUUGUGAGGAAGUUUUACUCAAAUGGAGCAUGACACCCUAUACGGGCAGUUGUAUUCGUCGUUCGCGGCGUUUAUGACAAUAGUUGUAAGGGGAGGUGAGACCCGCUUGCGGAUUGCUUCCUAAUUCAAAUGGCGAUAAACAGAAAACAACUUUCUGUGUCCCCGCCAACCAAUCACGUUAGUUAGUGGUGACCUCGGUUACCAUUAAGCUGAUUGAGUUUGAGCACAUAGUCUGAGACCCGAAAGACAGUGAGCUAUGCCUGCGCAGGAUGAAGCCAGAGGAAACUCUGGUGGAAGCCCGCAGCGAUACUGACGUGCAAAUCGUUCGUCUGACUUGGGUAUAGGGGCGAAAGACUAAUCGAACCAUCUAGUAGCUGGUUCCCUCCGAAGUUUCCCUCAGGAUAGCUGGAGCUCAAUGAAAAGAAAAAGCUAACAUAAUUUAGAUCAUUCGUGAUUUAGGUUAGUUGGUUUAUAAAACAGUUCUAUCUGGUAAAGCGAAUGAUUAAGGGUUCCGGGGUCGAAACGACCUUGACCCGUUCUCAAACUUUCAACUGGUAGUACGCUUAGGAACAACUUGUUUGUUUUUCUCGGUUAAUUUUUAGUCGAGCUAAGCACGCAGACCGUUCCGCCCUUUGAGGCCUUCGGGUUAUCAUUGGGACGAUAAUGUAGAGCUCUUAGUGGACCGUCCCUGGUAAGCAGGACCGGUGAUGUGGGAUGAACCAAACGUCGAGGCUAGGUGUCGAAUUUCGCGCUCAUUCCAGAUACCACAAAGGGUGUUAGUUCAUAUUGACAGCACGACGGUGGUCACGGGAGGUUGAAUCCGCUAAGAGUGUGUAACACUCACCUGCCGAAUGGACUAGCCCGAAAAUGGAUGACGCUUAAGCGUGCAACCGAUGCUCGACCGUA
rnacentral:ncRNA from 1 species